rnacentral:rRNA from 1 species
GUGCCAGCAGCGGCGGUAAUACGAAGGUCCCGAGCGUUGUUCGGAAUCACUGGGCGUAAAGGGAGCGUAGGCGGCGCGGUAAGUCAGAUGUGAAAUCCCGGGGCUCAACCCCGGAACUGCAUCCGAUACUGCCGUGCUAGAGGAUUGGAGAGGUAGCUGGAAUUCUUGGUGUAGCAGUGAAAUGCGUGGAGAUCAAGAGGAACACUCGUGGCGAAAGCGAGCUACUGGACAAUAUCUGACGCUGAGGCUCGAAGGCCAGGGUAGCGAAAGGGAUUAGAUACCCUGUAGUCCUGGCAGUAAACGGUGCACGCUUGGUGUGAGGGAAUCGACCCCCUGUGCCGGAGCCAGCGUUAAGCGUGCCGCC